rnacentral:lncRNA from 1 species
CACAAGCAGGGGGAGUGGGAGAGGAAGAAGCAGGCUCAUAGCGGAAGAGCCUGAUGUGGGGCUCGAUCCCAGAAUGCCAGGAUCACGCCCUGAGCCGAAGGCAGACGCUUAACCACUGUGCCACCCAGGCGCCCCACAAACUUCUUUUUCUUUCUCCCUUGGCCCAAAUUAUGCCCUCUUUUGGCUUUCUGUGAGAUUUGUUAUCUGUGAAACUCACAUGACAUUUACCAAUUAUUUACUGCCUUAGUUUGUUAGUGUCCAUGUACAAAUCUAGCUCAUACAGUACAGUGGGGCAUGGCUCUCUUACUCAUCCUUCUGUUCCAAAAAGCUCAAUGAAUCCAUUCGUGUGUUAGCGUUGGGAAUAAACCAAAUGAACGAUCACAGGCCAGUGUUUGUUAUCCAAAUUAGAUUAUUACCAAGAUUGAAUUUAUUCAUAAUUUAAUUUGGUAGGAAACUAAGUUCACAGAUGGAAAGAAAGAGAGAAAACACCAUAUUUUCCACACUACCUAAAAAUCCUGACCCGAGAGAGAAGGAAAAACCAGAAGUGAGAAUGUUGAAGAAAAAUAAGUUUCAGUAAGUGAGUAACUUUCGGCUCUAACGUGAAAUUCACUCUCAAGCGUGCUGUGCCACGGAACACGUAUUCUUCUGUUUUCUAUGCUCAGCAGACAGCUGGAAACCCACACAGGAUGCCAAGACUAUGUGACCUACAUUUGCAGCUAGACGGUAUUUGCUAAAAUGGAAUCUAAGAUUUAGAAUCUUUUAGUUUAAAUUUCCUUGGGAGUAUUUAUGUGUACUGGAUAAUGGGGUAACAGAUGCUUUAACUCUGUUUUCUUCCAGGUAUUUAAAACUAUGUUAAUCUAUCUCUCCACUCGUAAAAAGAAAGGAGGAAAAAAAGGAAGAAAGAAAGAAAGAAAGAAAGAAAGAAAGAAAGAAAGAAAGAAAGAAAGAAGAAAGAAAGAAACAAAACAAAAAAACAAACCUCACUUUUUGAAGGACUUUUGUCAGAGUCUCUUGGAGAGUGGAACUAAAGAGUAGCAUUUGGAGGCGGAAGAGCACCAUCGUCGUCAGAAAAACUGCCAUCUUGGUCUUGAAGGAAGAACAACCAUUAAGAAGCAAAAACAUCUCUGAAAUGAAACACCCUCUUUAAAUUCAGUUGCGUUUUUAUUUUUCUUACAUUCUGUGCAAGACUUAUGAUGUUCUUAUGUUCUCUUGCCAACUCUUUUGAUUAACAAGAUCGUGUAGGGGGGAAAAUGCUUUUUUGAGCACACAUCAUACAUUUUCCUAGAAGAAUUGUCCCGCACAGGGUAAUUAAGGUUAUAAACAGCGAGUGUUUAUUUGUGUGAG